AGAUUCCUACGGGAGGCAGCAGUGGGGAAUAUUGCACAAUGGGCGCAAGCCUGAUGCAGCGACGCCGCGUGAGGGAUGACGGCCUUCGGGUUGUAAACCUCUUUCAGUAGGGAAGAAGCGAAAGUGACGGUACCUGCAGAAGAAGCACCGGCUAACUACGUGCCAGCAGCCGCGGUAAUACGUAGAGUGCGAGCGUUAUCCGGAAUUAUUGGGCGUAAAGAGCUCGUAGGCGGUUUGUCGCGUCUGUCGUGAAAGUCCGGGGCUUAACCCCGGAUCUGCGGUGGGUACGGGCAGACUAGAGUGCAGUAGGGGAGACUGGAAUUCCUGGUGUAGCGGUGGAAUGCGCAGAUAUCAGGAGGAACACCGAUGGCGAAGGCAGGUCUCUGGGCUGUAACUGACGCUGAGGAGCGAAAGCAUGGGGAGCGAACAGGAUUAGAUACCCUGGUAGUCCAUGCCGUAAACGUUGGGCACUAGGUGUGGGGACCAUUCCACGGUUUCCGCGCCGCAGCUAACGCAUUAAGUGCCCCGCCUGGGGAGUACGGCCGCAAGGCUAAAACUCAAAGGAAUUGACGGGGGCCCGCACAAGCGGCGGAGCAUGCGGAUUAAUUCGAUGCAACGCGAAGAACCUUACCAAGGCUUGACAUGUUCUCGAUCGCCGUAGAGAUACGGUUUCCCCUUUGGGGCGGGUUCACAGGUGGUGCAUGGUUGUCGUCAGCUCGUGUCGUGAGAUGUUGGGUUAAGUCCCGCAACGAGCGCAACCCUCGUUCCAUGUUGCCAGCACGUCGUGGUGGGGACUCAUGGGAGACUGCCGGGGUCAACUCGGAGGAAGGUGAGGACGACGUCAAAUCAUCAUGCCCCUUAUGUCUUGGGCUUCACGCAUGCUACAAUGGCCGGUACAAUGGGUUGCGAUACUGUGAGGUGGAGCUAAUCCCAAAAAGCCGGUCUCAGUUCGGAUUGGGGUCUGCAACUCGACCCCAUGAAGUCGGAGUCGCUAGUAAUCGCAGAUCAGCAACGCUGCGGUGAAUACGUUCCCGGGCCUUGUACACACCGCC
rnacentral:rRNA from 1 species